rnacentral:rRNA from 1 species
UACGUAGGGUGCGAGCGUUAAUCGGAAUUACUGGGCGUAAAGCGUGCGCAGGCGGUUUUGUAAGUCUGACGUGAAAGCCCCGGGCUUAACCUGGGAAUUGCGUUGGAGACUGCAAGGCUUGAAUCUGGCAGAGGGGGGUAGAAUUCCACGUGUAGCAGUGAAAUGCGUAGAGAUGUGGAGGAACACCGAUGGCGAAGGCAGCCCCCUGGGUCAAGAUUGACGCUCAUGCACGAAAGCGUGGGGAGCAAACAGG